GACGAACGCUGGCGGCGUGCUUAACACAUGCAAGUCGAACGGGUCUGCCCUGUUUUUUGCGGGGUGGGUCAGUGGCGAACGGGUGAGUAACACGUGAGUAACCUGCCCCUCACUUCUGGAUAACCGCUUGAAAGGGUGGCUAAUACGGGGUGUUCUGGCUGUGCCGCAUGGUGUGGCUGGGAAAGAUUCACUUUUGUGGUGUUUUGGUGGGGGAUGGACUCGCGGCCUAUCAGCUUGUUGGUGGGGUGAUGGCCUGCCAAGGCUUUGACGGGUAGCCGGCCUGGGAGGGUGGGCGGUCACACUGGGACUGAGAUACGGCCCAGACUCCGGCGGGAGGCAGCAGUGGGGGGUAUUGCACAAUGGGCGGAAGCCUGAUGCAGCGACGUCGCGUGAGGGAUGGAGGCCUUCGGGUUGUGAACCUCUUUCGCCGGUGAAGAAGGUCCUGCUCUUUGUGGUGGGGUUGACGGUAGCCGGGUUAUGAAGCGCCGGCUAACUACGUG
rnacentral:rRNA from 1 species